UAACUACUCCCUCCGUUCGGAAUUACUCAUCCAAGAAAUGAAUGUAUAUAGAUGUAUUUUAGUUGUAGAUACAUUCAUUUUUGUGACAAGUAAUUUCGAACGGAGGGAGUAGUAA
rnacentral:pre_miRNA from 1 species